rnacentral:rRNA from 1 species
UACGGAGGGUGCAAGCGUUAUCCGGAUUCACUGGGUUUAAAGGGUGCGUAGGUGGAUCAAUAAGUCAGUGGUGAAAGCCCCGAGCUCAACUUGGGAAUUGCCAUUGAUACUGGAGAGCUUGAGUCCGGAAGAGGUGAGUGGAACUCCGAGUGUAGAGGUGAAAUUCGUAGAUAUUCGGAAGAACACCAGUGGCGAAGGCGGCUCACUGGUCCGGUACUGACGCUGAGGUGCGAAAGCGUGGGGAGCAAACAGG